GAUGAACGCUGGCGGCGUGCUUAACACAUGCAAGUCGAGCGGAGAAUAUUAAGUUGAGAGCUUCGGCAGGAUGCUUAAUAAUCUUAGCGGCGGACGGGUGAGUAACGUGUGGGCAACCUGCCCUGUACUGUGGAAUAAUCACUGGAAACGGUGACUAAUACCGCAUGUCAUUGCGAGAGGGCAUCCUCUUGCAAGAAAAGGAUUUAUUCGGUACAGGAUGGGCCCGCAUCUGAUUAGCUAGUUGGUGAGAUAACAGCCCACCAAGGCAACGAUCAGUAGCCGACCUGAGAGGGUGAUCGGCCACAUUGGGACUGAGACACGGCCCAAACUCCUACGGGAGGCAGCAGUGGGGAAUAUUGCACAAUGGGCGAAAGCCUGAUGCAGCAACGCCGCGUGAAGGAUGAAGGGUUUCGGCUCGUAAACUUCUAUCAACAGGGACGAAAAAAAUGACGGUACCUGAAUAAGAAGCCCCGGCUAACUACGUG
rnacentral:rRNA from 1 species